CAUAGGAAUGGAACCGUCAGUGGACGAAGGGUGAUCCACUUGGGAUUAAUUCUGACAGUGAGGUGCGAAAGAGUGGGGAGCAAAACAGGAUUUAGAUACCCUGGUAGUCCACGCUGUAAUACGAUGUCAACUAGUCGUUGGCAAGCCUUGAGCUAUUUAGUGGCGCAGCUAUACGCAUUUAAGUUGUCACUCCUGGGGAGUACGCACCGCAAGGUUAAAACUCAAAUGAAUUGACGGGGGCCCGCACAAGCGGUGGAGCAUGUGGUUUAAUUCGAAGCAACGCGAAGACCCUUGCCAGGUCUGGACAUCCAAUGAACUUUGCACAGAGGUAGCCGUUCCUUCGUCAGCAGUGAACCUGAUAAUUCCAGAGUGUUGUCAUAUCGUCUCUUCUGACGUCGUGAUAAGUUCCGCAAUGAGAACACCCUUUGUCCAUAGUGACCAGCACGUAAUGGUGGGUCCUCCAAGGAGCCUAUCUGUGACAAACCGGAGGAAGGUGGGGAUCACGUCAAGUUAUCAUGGCCAAUUAGGCUGUGCGUCCUCUCAGUCGCUACAUAUGGUUGGUUCAAGAGGUUGACAAACUGCGGGAGGCGGAGUUAUUCCCAUAAAACCGAUCGUAGUCGGGAUCGCAGUCUGCAACUCGACUGCGUGAAGUCGGAAUCGCUAGUAAUCGCGAAUCAGAAUGUCGCGGUGAAUACGUUCCCGGGCCUUGUACACACCGCCCGUCACACCAUGGGAGUGGGUUGCACCCAG
rnacentral:rRNA from 1 species